AUGCGUUGGCUGCCUGUGUACUUUUGGUUUUGUAUCCAGCUGCCAAUGAUUACUACUAAUAAUAAUUUACACACCAGUUUCAUUUCUAUUAACGGCCCCAUGACACUAAAAACUUGUUAUCCUUUUUUUUCUUUGUUACUAUUAAUUUGUAGGAUGUAUUUGAACAUUUUUUUGCGACAUAAAUUACAGCAAUCCUCGCGCGUGUUACCACAAAACCGGGUUUUCCAUAUAUCGUACACAAUCCCAUUCAUAAAAAUAAUCCAGCGCAUCCUGUCGUCAAGCUUCCAAUCAAAUACAUCCUCAAUAAGUUCAUCAAAAUAUAUCUCAUGCACCAGUACCUCAAGGCCUUCAUUCCUUCAUCCACGUUGCAAUUUUUCACCACUGCUCCUAGCAAAUGCAUAG
rnacentral:rRNA from 1 species